UACGAAGGGGGCUAGCGUUACUCGGAAUUACUGGGCGUAAAGCGUGCGUAGGUGGUUUUUUAAGUCCGUUGUGAAAGCCCUGGGCUCAACCUGGGAAUGGCAGUGGAUACUGGAAAGCUAGAGUGCGGUAGAGGGUAGUGGAAUUCCCGGUGUAGCAGUGAAAUGCGUAGAGAUCGGGAGGAACACCAGUGGCGAAGGCGGCUACCUGGACCAGCACUGACACUGAGGCACGAAAGCGUGGGGAGCAAACAGG
rnacentral:rRNA from 1 species